rnacentral:rRNA from 1 species
GACGAACGCUGGCGGCGUGCCUAAUACAUGCAAGCUGAGCGAUGAAGAUUGGUGCUUGCACCAAUUUGAAGAGCAGCGAACGGGUGAGUAACGCGUGGGGAAUCUGCCUUUGAGCGGGGGACAACAUUUGGAAACGAAUGCUAAUACCGCAUAAUAACUUUAAACAUAAGUUUUAAGUUUGAAAGAUGCAAUUGCAUCACUCAAAGAUGAUCCCGCGUUGUAUUAGCUAGUUGGUGAGGUAAAGGCUCACCAAGGCGAUGAUACAUAGCCGACCUGAGAGGGUGAUCGGCCACAUUUGGACUGAGACACGGCCCAAACUCCUACGGGAGGCAGCAGUAGGGAAUCUUCGGCAAUGGACGAAAGUCUGACCGAGCAACGCCGCGUGAGGGAAGGAGGUUUUCGGAUCGUAAAACUCUGUUGGUAGAGAAGAACGUUGGUGAGAGUGGAAAGCUCAUCAAGUGACGGUAACUACACAGAAAGGGACGGCUAACUACGUG